UAGCAAACUCAAAUUUUUGGGUCAAAGCUUAGUUGGCUAGUGAUGAAGGCAUCAAUGGGCAUAUUCCUGUGAGAAGGCCAAAGUAGAGUUGAAUUACAACCCUAGAAGCUUGAAAGAAGGGCUGGAAGAGGUUCUAUCGUGGCGUAUGAACAUAGGAUGUGGCAUUUGUUGUUGAUGGUUGGGCUCUUGAAAUUGCACUUAAGCAUUAUCGAACAGCUUUUAUAGAAUUAGCAAUAUUGUCAAGGACUGCUAUAUGUUGUCGGGUAACACCAUCACAGAAAGCACAGCUUGUGGAGAUUUUAAAAUCAUGUGAUUAUAGAACAUUGUCCAUUGGGGAUGGACGGAAUGAUGUAAGAAUGAUACAACAAGCUGACAUUGGAGUUGGA